GCCUGGGUGGCUCAGUCGGUUAAGCGUCCGACUUCGGCUCAGGUCACGAUCUCGCAGUUUGUGGGUUCGAGCCCCGCGUCGGGCU
rnacentral:tRNA from 1 species